UAUGACUGAAGCCCACUCUCUUGGGACCCUCUCAACAGUGGCCCAAAAGGAGACCCUUUGAGCUCUCCUGGGCCGCCGUGGGCUGUGACCAGCAAUCUCCCUCUGAGGGGGCCUCUCAGAGCCAGCAAACCUUCAGGUUUGCUAUACCUGGAGAUCGCCAAACCACGAUGUGUCCUGGGCCGAUACUCUCACUCCUCGAGGCCUGAUCCUGUGCCCAGCAGGAGAGGAAAAAGCUUCCAAAAAGGAAACCAAAUGAAUGAACUGUCAUCAAAAGAAAUUGAAACUAAUAGAACCAAGAACAGCACCUGGGUUUCGUAAUAAUUAAUCAAAAGUAGGAGAUCUUGGGCUGCGCCAAGAGGUCACGAAGGCCUGCCAACAGCAAGGAGGUAAAAAGGUCACUGUGAGGAAGACAUUCCUGACUUCCUCUUUCAGGACCACUGACCCAAUUCAAGAGAGAAACUGCGCAUGCGUGAAAGACCAAUGAUCUCAUUUUAAUACAAAGCGGAGGAUGGGAGGUGCUGGGGUCAUACAUAUGCAGAAGAUGUAAAACUUUGAGUAAUAAAUAGAGAACGAGAAACCUUGUA